GAUGAAGAACGCAGCGAAAUGCGAUAAGUAGUGUGAAUUGCAGAAUUCAGUGAAUCAUCGAAUCUUUGAACGCACAUUGUGCCCCUCGGUAUUCCGUGGGGCAUGCCUGUUCGAGCGUCAUUUACCCCUCAAGCACUGCUUGGUGUUGGGCGUCUGUCCCGCUUCGCGCGCGGACUCGCCCCAAAGGUAUUGGCAGCGGUCGUGCCAGCUUCUCGCGCAGCACAUUGCGCUUCUCGAGGCGGUCGAUCGGCGUCCACGAAGCUCACCUCCACCGUUUGACCUCGGAUCAGGUAGGGAUACCCGCUGAACUUAAGCAUAUCAAUAAGCGGAGGA
rnacentral:misc_RNA from 1 species